rnacentral:rRNA from 1 species
GUGCACGCUCUGUUUACACAUCCACUCACACCUGUGCACCCUCUGUAGUUCUAUGGCCUGGAGGGCCCUGUCCUCCUGCUGUGGUUCUACGUCUUUACACACACACAUUGAAAUAAAGUCUAAUGGAAUGUAUGUCGCGUUUAACGCUCCAGAAAUACAACUUUCAGCAACGGAUCUCUUGGCUCUCGCAUCGAUGAAGAACGCAGCGAAAUGCGAUAAGUAAUGUGAAUUGCAGAAUUCAGUGAAUCAUCGAAUCUUUGAACGCACCUUGCGCCCUUUGGCUAUUCCGAAGGGCAUGCCUGUUUGAGUAUCAUGAACACCUCAACUCUCAUGGCUUGCCAUGAUGAGCUUGGACUUUGGGGGUCUUGCUGGCCUGUGGUCGGCUCCUCUCAAAUGAAUCAGCUUGCCGGUGUUUGGUGGGAUCACAGGUGUGAUAACUAUCUACGCUUGUGGUUUUCCACCAGGUAACCCUCAGCAAUGGAGGUUCGCCGGAGCUUAUAAAUGUCUCUCCCCAGCGAGGACAGAUUUUGACCGUUUGAUCUCAAAUCAGGUAGGACUACCCGCUGAACUUAAGCAUAUCAAUAAGCGGAGGAAAAGAAACUAACAAGGAUUCCUCCUAGUAACUGCGAGUGAAGCGGGAAGAGCUCAAUUUAAAAUCUGGC